ensembl:lncRNA
CUUGCUAAUUGGUUGAACGCGGCACGAAUGGCGAAGGAACGAGCACCCCCCUUCGUUAAGCGGAAACAGGUUCAAAGAAGUCAUGAACCCAUCAUUUUGUAGAAUAGCAGUUUCAAAAACACUGGUUAUGGUAGCUUACAUUUGAAGGGUACAAUCAGGGCUGCAUUGUGGUCUGUAGUGUCCAAUCACCGAGUAGAUAAAAGAACUGGAAGUUAUUUAGGAAAAUUGCUUCUAGGCUAGUGAAGUGUUUCGUUUUCAAUUUAUGUUAGUCAGUAACGGGUUGGUGUUUACCAUCUUUGAGUUAGCUAUAAUGGUAACUGUACACCAUAGACAUAAUAAAGAGUAGACGCCGCAUUGGCUGCUGGGGCGCGAGAAAUACGGCCGCCAUGUUUGACCGGUCAUACUCCUAUUUGCGUAGCAGCAGAAGCAACGAUACCAGAGCACUAUGGAGCAUACUCCUGCUCAUAUCGGCGGACCAUCGAAAGCAGGGCUCGGGGGAUUACUUUUCACAAGUUCAGCCAAGAUCACUUGGAGCUCCUAUUUAAUUCAAUCAGAGCGUCAGGUGCUGAGUGCUGCAGAGAGGGUGAUCCGCCAAGCUUCACCAAUGCCAGCUCCUAAGGUGUCGACAGUCACAGACAUCGUCCGGGAGCAGAUUGGAACGGAGGAUGUUUUUCUGCUUGGGGAACACAUUGAGGAGACUCAGUUUGGCAUCGACAACCAUCAUUCUGACUUGUUGUCAUUGGUUGUGUCUGUGUUUCUCAAAAUAAGGCUGCACCACAUUACCAAACUCACCUCUCUUGAACUGCAGAAAGGGAGCACGAGGAAGAACUGUCCUCUUUCAGGGGUUUUAGAGCGUGUGCAUGUGUGUGGUUCCACGACAAUUCAAGACUUUAAUCCUAAAUUCCAGCAUCCCAAAACUAAUUCUAAGCUUUAUCUGUACUUUAACCUUACUCAUCACAUAUAGUAUCUUUAUGUCAUAUCUGUCAUCAUUCUGACAAGAUUAACACUGAAUCUGAAAGCAAUGGCUUAAAACUGCCUGAAAACAGUGGUCUGUCACAUUUUAUGUGAAUACUGCUGUAAGUGUUGUUGGGUCUGUAAAUACCUCUGUUUGUUUGUGUUUCAUGAACUCUAGCCUCAUGGUGUGUCUCCAGGAAUCCAAAUGUUGGUCUCCUUUACCUUACACUAAGUUUGUGAGCUUGUGUAUAAUGAAGUUUAUCUUUACAUUAUGUCCUUGUUAUUGUCUUAGCCCUGAUCCCUUUCCCUCUGGGUUCUGAAAAGCACUUGUAACUGUGUUUUGAAAAUUGCUACAUUAAUUAAAUUUGCAGACUUUUCAAGGGAGUUUCAACAAAGUAAAUGUGUAGUUUAAAUAAAAACAGUCACUUUUCAUUUCAUCCUGCUAUUUUAGACUGGGACCCAUGUGAGUAUGUUGGGAUGGGGGCUGUGAAAUGAGAGAGAGAGAAAUAUAUAUUUCUGACUUUACUGCCACUAUUUACAUUAGGUGUUUCAAUCAGAAUGAUAGUCAAACUGGAAAUGUUCCUGUUUUUCUCCCUUUUUGGGGAUUAUGUUCACAGUUUUUGAUGAAUAUAAAAAUAUUUCUGACUUUACUGCCACUAUUUACACAUUAGGUGUUUCAAUCAGAAUGAUAGUCAAACUGGAAAUGUUCCUGUUUUUCUCCCUUUUUGGGGAUUAUGUUCACAGUUUUGAUGAAUAUAAAACUAUGAAUAUUAAAAUACGUCGAACCAUG